rnacentral:rRNA from 1 species
GAACAAAAGGAAUAAGCUUCAUUCUUUCAUCUUAGUGGCGGACGGGUGAGUAACGUGUGGGCACCUGCCCUGUACUGUGGAAUAAUCAUUGGAAACGAUGACUAAUACCGCAUGUGAAGGCAUCUGAAAAUUUAUUCGGUACAGGAUGGGCCCGCAUCUGAUUACUAGUUGGUGAGAUAACAGCCCACCAAGGCGACGAUCAGUAGCCGACCUGAGAGGGUGAUCGGCCACAUUGGGACUGAGACACGGCCCAAACUCCUACGGGAGGCAGCAGUGGGGAAUAUUGCACAAUGGGCGAAAGCCUGAUGCAGCAACGCCGCGUGAAGGAUGAAGGGUUUCGGCUCGUAAACUUCUAUCAAUAGGGAAGAAACAAAUGACGUACCUAAAAAG